rnacentral:rRNA from 1 species
UUCGCAAUGCCCGAAAGGGUGACGAAGCGACGCCGCGUGUGGGAAGAAGGCCUUCGGGUUGUAAACCACUGUCGGGAGUUAAGAAAUGCAAGGAUAUUAAUAGUGUCUUUGUUUGACUAAGGCUCCGGAGGAAGCCACGGCUAACUCUGUGCCAGCAGCCGCGGUAAUACAGAGGCGGCAAGCGUUGUUCGGAAUUAUUGGGCGUAAAGAGCACGUAGGCGGCUGUGUAAGUCGGUUGUGAAAGCCUUCCGCUCAACGGAAGAACAGCAUCCGAUACUACAUGGCUUGAGUGCGGGAGGGGAGAGUGGAACUUCUGGUGGAGCGGUGAAAUGCGUAGAUAUCAGAAGGAACGCCGGCGGCGAAAGCGGCUCUCUGGCCCAUAACUGACGCUGAGUGUGCGAAAGCUAGGGGAGCAAACGGGAUUAGAUACCCCGGUAGUCCUAGCCGUAAACGAUGGGCACUAAGUAGAGGGGUUUU